rnacentral:rRNA from 1 species
AAUCAACGCUGGCGGCGUGCCUCAGACAUGCAAGUCGAACGCGAAAGUCCCCUUCGGGGGACAAGUAGAGUGGCGCACGGGUGAGUAACACGUAGGUAAUCUACCUUCGGAUGGGGAAUAACAACCGGAAACGGUUGCUAAUACCGCAUAAUGCAGCGGCACCUAAUGGUGACAGUUGUUAAAGCGGGGGAUCGAAAGACCUCGCGUCUGAAGAGGAGCCUGCGGCGGAUUAGCAGUUGGUAAGGUAACGGCUUACCAAGGCGACGAUCCGUAGCCGGCCUGAGAGGGGCGGUCGGCCACACUGACACUGACAUACGGGUCAGACUCCUACGGGAGGCAGCAGUCGGGAAUUUUGGGCAAUGGGCGAAAGCCUGACCCAGCAACGCCGCGUGAAGGAU